rnacentral:rRNA from 1 species
GACGAACGCUGGCGGCGUGCUUAACACAUGCAAGUCGAGCGGUAAGGCCCUUUCGGGGGUACGACGAGCGGCGAACGGGUGAGUAACACGUGGGUGACCUGCCCUCCAGCGUCUGGGAUAAGACCUGGGAAACCGGGUCUAAUACCGGAUAUGACUCCAUGACGCAUGUUGUGGGUGGAAAGCCUUGUGCGGCUGAGGAUGGGCCCGCGGCCUAUCAGCUUGUUGGUGGGGUGAGGCCUACCAAGGCGACGACGGGUAGCCGGCCUGAGAGGGCGACCGGCCACACUGGGACUGAGACACGGCCCAGACUCCUACGGGAGGCAGCAGUGGGGAAUCUUGCGCAAUGGGCGAAAGCCUGACGCAGCGACGCCGCGUGAGGGAUGACGG